rnacentral:rRNA from 1 species
UGGGGAAUAUUGCACAAUGGAGGGAACUCUGAUGCAGCGACGCCGCGUGAACGAAGAAGGCUUUCGAGUCGUAAAGUUCUUUUAUAUGGGAAGAUAAUGACGGUACCAUAAGAAAAAGCCCCGGCUAACUACGUGCCAGCAGCCGCGGUAAUACGUAGGGGGCUAGCGUUGUCCGGAAUCACUGGGCGUAAAGGGUUCGCAGGCGGAAAUGCAAGUCAGGUGUAAAAGGCAGUAGCUUAACUACUGUAAGCAUUUGAAACUGCAUUUCUUGAGAAGAGUAGAGGAAAGUGGAAUUUUUAGUGUAGCGGUGAAAUGCGUAGAUAUUAAAAAGAAUACCGGUGGCGAAGGCGGCUUACUGGGCUCAUUCUGACGCUGAGGAACGAAAGCGUGGGUAGCAAACAGG